rnacentral:snRNA from 1 species
AGAAACGUGGCCCAUUAAGUGGCACAUGUGGGACUUCCCUCUUGCUCUGCGUGCAGAAUCGACAUCAAGAGAUUUUGUUACCUGGGCUGCUAGUGAUCGUUCGUCCUGGCGCCCUA